UACAGAGGGUGCAAGCGUUAAUCGGAAUUACUGGGCGUAAAGCGCGCGUAGGUGGUUCGUUAAGUUGGAUGUGAAAUCCCCGGGCUCAACCUGGGAACUGCAUUCAAAACUGUCGAGCUAGAGUAUGGUAGAGGGUGGUGGAAUUUCCUGUGUAGCGGUGAAAUGCGUAGAUAUCUGGAGGAACACCGGUGGCGAAGGCGGCAUCCUGGGCCAACACUGACGCUGAUGUGCGAAAGCUAGGGGAGCAAACGGG
rnacentral:rRNA from 1 species